AGGAAAUACAGCCAGAGAGCAAGCAUGAAAAAAGUCAUGCCGGGAAAGCUGAUGGACUGCCCACUGCCUCUCUGCUGACUUCUGAGCUUCUCCCAGGCUCCAGCCUCGCCUUCCCAGCUGUGACUCUGACUCUGUGGUUAAAAACAGCGCUGGAUUCAUGGUACCACAAGUGUAGGUGGCCAGAAAGACCCCACCUGAGAGCACUGGGCAGACAGCAUUAUCUCCUUUACUUACUUCUUAUGAAAACAACCUGUGUCCAUUGAUGGAUAGACGAAUAAAGAAGAGGUGG